rnacentral:misc_RNA from 1 species
GGAACUCCAGUUUGAUGAACAAGUCAUUCCCUGGAUUGCGAGUUUCUGUAACUCAUUGAAGCUUUUAUGCAGGACCAGUUCCAUAGAAAUGGUCAUAUAUUAAUUGGAAUGUAAUGCUCUUGUAUCUAUAAAUUUUACAUUAACUAGACUUUGACCCGUGCGUGCACGGGUUGACAUUGCAUAUCGGACAUUUACGAAAUAGGUACAUCGACACACCUUAUUACUGACAUUUACAUAACAAAGCUAUAAGCCUACAAUAAUGCUAUUAGUUUCACUACACUUUCCUUAGUUUGAAUAAUCUAACUGUGUCUCGGGAAAGGCCCUCACCACAGUUUGAAUGCCUCCCUUAUACCCGUAAUGUAGCAGAAAAUUGCAGAAUCGCUCCGGAACGAUUUUGGAGAAAGGUAAUGAAGUUGCCUUGAAAAUCGCAGUCAAAUUCAUUACAACAAACUAUUUUGAGACUGCAAAUACCUUUCAACUAAAUAUUUUAAUCCAUAGAAUGGAAGAAUUCAACACAUUUUCACCAACGUACACGUAUUGUCUUUGUAAAACUGGGUCCGUAAGACAUUAUCCAUUUUAACGAUAAAACAUAUUCUAUCCUCACUCUCCUAACAAAUAUAAUGUAACCUUUUUGCAUGUAAUCAAAUAUUUUUUGUCAUCACGAAGACAAAAGUAAGUACAUAGUUGAAAUGUAUACUUUCUCUCAUAGAAAUCAUUAAUAUUUAUGAACAGAAUAUAAAGCAAAAAUUCAAAUGAAAAUUU